GCCAAAUUUCAUUUAAUUUCUGUUUAUAGACGAUUUUAAAUAUUCGGCUAAUAGUCAUUUGUUCUAUUUAAACCUAAAUUUUUUUUGGAACAGGCGUUUUUCAAGGGUGUUUUGUCAAACAAGUUUUUGGAAAUUUUUUUUUGUGAAACCAGUUAAACCGGUACUCCCAGUACCGGUUUCAAAUUUUUGGCCCGAACCCGGUAUUCGCACAACCGGGUUCAUUUUUCGAAGCUCGAAACCGGUAUUCGCGGAACCAGGUUCGAGGUGACAUGACAUCCUGCAAGAGCAUAUGUGACUGGAACAGUUAUCAUACAAGAAAGCUUGAACCCGGUUUUGGGAAUACAGGGUUCGGCCUAAACCUAACAUGUGUCGCAACCUCAUGUAACCCUUAUUCAACUUUUAAACCAUUUAUCUAUAUAUAGUACAUGUGAUGUAUCUCCAUUAGUAUUCCAACAAAUAUUUUCAAAUAAAAUUUCAAACACUUUGAUAAACUAUAUAUUAAAAAAAAUGGCAUCUUCAUCAUUUAACCCAAUUGUGGUUCAGUUAAUAUGGGAUGAGUGUGUAUCAUUCGCAAAUGGGAUCCUUCAAAAUGCAGAUCCAUCAAAAAGAAGUUUUCCUCUUUUUCACGUAAUGACUUAUUCAGAAAUUUGUGAUGUCACUUACAGUUGUUUUGGUGUUUCAAAACAAGACUUCAAAUUGCAAUUAUAUUUAUGGUAUGCAUUUAAGGGUGUUCCUUUUAGAAAUUUAAUUACGGAUGAUAAUACUUUGGCAAUGAUUUAUCAUCUGGGUGAAGCGUAAUUUCAAGUGAAGUUCGAGCCUACUUUUACAAACCAGUUGUUAAGCUUGACUCAAAGUCAAUGUUUUUUUCAACCGGGUAACCAAUCACAAGAUAACGAAGAUCAUGAAGACAAUGACGAUGAUGAAGACAAUGAAGACGAUGAACAUGAUGAAGAUAAUGAAAUUGCACCAAUGGUUGAUGGAUCUAGUGAUGAGGCACCUUAUACAAGAGAUGAUACCAUCGACUGAUAUAGCGUUGAUGGGGAUGUAUCUGGAGAUGAAGAUGAUGAAGUGGCACAUGUACAAGGUCCUUUGGAGCAGCAACAACAUCUUAAUCUUGAAGAUGAUCGUCAAAUUCCAUUCAAUGAAGUUCAAGAAGAUGUGGUAUUUUGGUCUAUGUGACAGAAAAAGUAAUGGAUUUUCAAAGCAAAGCGGAACUUGUAUACACUGUUAGGCUUUAGAACAUAAGAGAAAACAGAGAACUUAUUGUUCAAGAUACGAGGCCACAAUUUUGGAAAGCACAGUGCAUGACCAAGGGGAAGAAUUAUCGUGAUGUUAUGGACCGGGUCCCGUGUAAGUGGGUUGUAGUUGGAUCUAGCAGAAACAGUUCAGGAUUGUUUCGUAUCACAAAGUGGGUGGAGAGUCAUAAUUGCUAUGGCGAAGUGAGAUCUAACAACAACCGAUGUAUGACAGCAAGUAUGAUAGCUUCCGAAAAUUUGCCUGAGGUGCAGGAGGAUUUAACUUAUAAAGUCAGACACAUCCAGACGCAAGUAAAAACAACGUUCAGUGUCGAUGUGACCUACGCCGAGGCAUGGAAUGCAAGAAGGAUAGCAAUUGAAAGGUUGUAUGGAACUUGACCGAGUAACAUUGAUGCAUUGCCGAAGUAUAUUGCUGAAUUACAAUGUGCUAAUCCAGGCACUGUUGUGGAAUGACUACAUUCUUUAACCAGUUCAAGCCAUAUACAAACAUUCAAGUUUGUAUUUUGGACAUUUGGACUGGCAAUUAGAGUAUUCCAACAUUAUAUUCCAGUGAUCUUUGUCGAUGGCAAUUAGAGCAUUCCAACGUUGCUAACUGUAGUGACGAAGAACGCCAAUGGACAAUUAUUGCCUAUCGCUUUUGCCUUGGUUGAUGAAGAGUCUAAUGAAAGUUGGGGAUGGUUUUUAAAUUCUUUCAAGAGCAUGUCAGAUCGCAGUAGCAGGGUGAUUUGUGUAUCCUUUUGAUACCGUCACCAAGGCAUAAUUAAUGCAGUGAACCAAUCAUCGGUAUUGUUUGAGGCACGUUUGUAGCAAUGUCAACUCGCACUUCAUGAACAAGUGUAUCAAAAUUUUGGCUUGGGUUAUCGGUUCCACAUCCCAACAAUCCAAGUAUUCUUGGGCGGUGGAUGAAGUCAAAGGUGAAGCAGAGGGUGUUUGGCCGUAUUUGAGAAACAGUGGUUUGGAUAAGUGGACUCUAAAGCACGACUCGGGACUUCGUCGUUGGGAUAACUUAACGACAAACAUUGCCGAGUGCCAAAACAAUAUCCUUCGAAAAGCUCGUAUGCUACCUAUUAGAGCUUUAAUUGAGACCACUUUUACUUCUGACAAGAGACCAUUUUGUCAAGUAAUACCGGAAGGCCACCAAUUGGAACCCACCACUAGCUCGCAAAAUGUUGGAGGUUUAUCAAAUGCGUGAAAGAGUCUCAACAAGCCAUCGGGUGGAAGUGUAUGAUGAACGAAUAGGAAAUUACACCGUGAGAACGAACCAAAGAAAUGCAAAGGGCGAGUACACAUACAAUGCUGUCAUGACAGAUAUAGAUAGGAUAGAGCUGCCAAUCUUCCGAGUAAGAGGUACUCAACUAGGACGUGGAUAAAUCAGUAUAAUGUUGUACUUGCUUCCCUCCGAGACGUGAGCAGAGGUAGAUUUUGGAAGAUCCAAGGAGACCCGGCAAAACUGGUCACGCAUAGGGGUAUGAGACGCACUGGACGGUACCGGAACGAGAUGGAUGAGAGUUCUACUAGCAGAUGUUCAACCUCAAGACAACAAGCUAGAUGUGGCAUUUGCAACGGGUUGGGUCAUAUUAGGAAAACAUGCACCGAACUUUGAAUAUGGCAAUAAUCGUGUCGCUUAUUUGUUUGCGUUCUUUGUGUGGUUUUUAUCCGUUUAUUUCUGAAUUCCUAGGUGUUUUCUUGUAACAUGGCAACUUUCGAUAUCAAUUUUAUGUUUGUUUUCUUAUUA